CGUAGGGUGCGAGCGUUAAUCGGAAUUACUGGGCGUAAAGCGUGCGCAGGCGGUGAUGUAAGACAGAUGUGAAAUCCCCGGGCUCAACCUGGGACCUGCAUUUGUGACUGCAUCGCUGGAGUGCGGCAGAGGGGGAUGGAAUUCCGCGUGUAGCAGUGAAAUGCGUAGAUAUGCGGAGGAACACCGAUGGCGAAGGCAAUCCCCUGGACCUGCACUGACGCUCAUGCACGAAAGCGUGGGGAGCAAACAGGAUUAGAUACCCUGGUAGUCCACGCCCUAAACGAUGUCAACUGGUUGUUGGGUCUUCACUGACUCAGUAACGAAGCUAACGCGUGAAGUUGACCGCCUGGGGAGUACGGCCGCAAGGUUG
rnacentral:rRNA from 1 species